rnacentral:lncRNA from 1 species
CUGUCGCCGCCGCCUCCUCCUGCAAGCCCACCGCGCGGCCCGCCUUCUUCACCUCCACGAAGGCGCUGCGCUUCGCCUCGCCGGUCUCCGGGCUGGGCGGCGCGAAGAGCCGGCCGUUCUCCUCCAGGCCGAAGUAGCUGCCGGCGGCGCGGUACUGCUGCGGCGUGCACACCAACUCCUCCUUGGAGGUCGCCAGCGGCCUCUCGGAGAAGCGCGCACGGCCGCCGGCCAGCCCGGCGCCGCCGCCCUCCGCAGCCGUCUCCUCCGGGAACCGCCUCUUGCCUUUGCAGCCGCCGGUGGCGACGCCGUCGGGACUCAGCUCCGCCUCCUGGUGGCCGCUGCCGCCACUGCCGACGCCCGGGGCCGCUACGCAACUGCUGCUUCCCCGGGAGUUUUCCAGUUCCCGAGCCAGGUUGUGGAAGUCCGUGGACGGCUUGGCGCUGCCGGCACCCGCGGAGCCCGGCGGGUUGCUCGCCUCCGGGGAUGACGCGGGGUAGUGGUGUAUGGGGCCGGCUUUGCAGAACUUCGGGCCCGGGAUCAACGGCGCCUCCUGUUGCUGCUGCUGUUGCUGCUGCUGUUGCUCUUUACCACUACCGCCACCGCCGUGGUCCUUAGUGCCCAAGCCGCCCCCUUGCUCGUCUUGGGGAUUCGCAUCAGUGCUGUGAAGUCUCUUGGGGCAGCGGAAUCGCAGAUGUGCCACAUAGGGGAACUCAAACUGGAAACGUUGGCUGCAUUCCAGGCAUGUGUAAGCAGAUGACCCUGCUUAGUGAGCACACACACACACCACAUGGUUAGUUAGCAUCGCCCCUAGGCCACUUAGCCAUCCUCCCCAUAACAAAUCCACUUUAUCUUUCCAGGCUGAGUGCCCCCAAAAAUGAAUACACUAUCCUAUUUGGUGCAACUUUCUUUCUUGAUUUGUGCAUUUACUAAGUCAAACGCUCCCCAACUUUUCCUUCCCCUUCUGUCCUAGUUCCAUUCGGGACAACACCUCAGAAGCUUCGUCCACCCUAUGAUGUGCCCAAGAUAAGCAAGGUGAGCCCAGGCACCCGAGCCAACCUACCGUUCAUUUUGUGAGCUCUAGAAGGGCAGAGCAAGAGCAACUCAGUCAGUUCUUUCCCGUACCAAACUAGUAACUCUUCAUCUUUGGCAAUCCUGCGGAGAGAGCGGUAGAACAGCUGUCCGUUUUUUAUAUAAGCUUCGAGAUUCUGUUCUUCCUUAUCUCGGGCUGAUUGGACCAGCCGCAGCCACAUGAGACCUUCUGAGGAACCAUUUGCCGCCGAAGUGUCUACCUACAGUAUUUAAGAAAGACAAGAAGGGAGGGAUCCACGUGAAAGACGGAAACCAGAGAAACCAGAGAUAUUUCAUCUGUUUGUUCUUCCCAAACAAUUAUCUGAAACCAAGUUUGCAAAAGUUGACCCAAGUCGGACUGCAUCCCUGCAUUUGUGGUCAAUGGGCACAGUGGCCAUCCUUUGCAACACUGAGUCAGUCUUACAGAGUAGCCUCUUUACAGUCUCCUUUUCCGUUACCUCACAUGACAAAAGGAGAGGACAUUUCCCGUGUUUCAGAAGUAAAAGGCAAGUUCGGGUCUUAGUAAUUAUCCUAUGGCACUCACGCCCAUCUUCCUAACUGACACGAAGGACAAACAGCUUUACUUCAUGAAGAAAGACUAGGAACUCUGGGGUGGGGAAACUGGGAGUAACAUUUGGCAUGUAAAUAAAU